rnacentral:rRNA from 1 species
AACGAACGCUGGCGGCAGGCUUAACACAUGCAAGUCGAGCGCCCCGCAAGGGGAGCGGCAGACGGGUGAGUAACGCGUGGGAAUCUACCUAUCACUACGGAACAACUCCGGGAAACUGGAGCUAAUACCGUAUACGUCCGAGAGGAGAAAGAUUUAUCGGUGAUAGAUGAGCCCGCGUUGGAUUAGCUAGUUGGUGGGGGUAAUGGCCUACCAAGGCGACGAUCCAUAGCUGGUCUGAGAGGAUGAUCAGCCACACUGGAACUGAGACACGGCCCAGACUCCUACGGGAGGCAGCAGUGGGAAUAUGGACAAUGGGCGAAAGCCUGAUCCAGCCAUGCCGCGUGAGUGAUGAAGG